rnacentral:lncRNA from 1 species
UAUUAUAAAACAGUUGUGCUUCAACGUUAGGUUGUUCUUCUACAUCCUCGAUAACAUUGACAUAACGAGUUCUUAGAUCACUUUCUUGCAUGCAUGCAUUGUUCACCAUUUCGACUAAUGACCCAAAGUCAUCAUCACGCCUGAUGAUGAUGCAAUGUUUAAGUUAACCUCGUUUAUCCGUACUUCUCUGUGAUAAACCCAUACCCUGUAGUUGGGUUGAAAGCCAUGAUGAAGUAGAUGACUUCUGACAUGAGAAGGUUUG